rnacentral:rRNA from 1 species
UACGUAGGGGGCAAGCGUUGUCCGGAAUUAUUGGGCGUAAAGAGCGUGUAGGCGGUUCGAUAAGUUUGCUGUAAAAGUCGGGGGCUCAACCCCCGAAAGCCGGUGAAUACUGUCGGACUAGAGUACGGAAGAGGCGAGUGGAAUUCCUGGUGUAGCGGUGAAAUGCGCAGAUAUCAGGAGGAACACCAAUUGCGAAGGCAGCUCGCUGGGAUGAUACUGACGCUGAGACGCGAAAGCGUGGGGAGCAAACAGG